UACGAAGGGGGCUAGCGUUGUUCGGAAUCACUGGGCGUAAAGCGCACGCAGGCGGGUCGUUAAGGCAGGGGUGAAAUCCCGAGGCUCAACCUCGGAACUGCCUUUGAUACUGGCGAUCUUUGAGUCCGGGAGAGGUGAGUGGAACUCCGAGUGUAGAGGUGAAAUUCGUAGAUAUUCGGAAGAACACCAGUGGCGAAGGCGGCUCACUGGCCCGGUACUGACGCUCAUGUGCGAAAGCGUGGGGAGCAAACAGG
rnacentral:rRNA from 1 species